GGUAAAUAUGUUUCGUUAAUUCUCUUUUUUUUAACUUUUAAAAAUACACGUAAAUGCAGCAGCCCAAAUGAAAAGGAAUUUGUAAUAUACGAAAGCACGAGUGUAAAUUCAGAAAGAAUUAAAGUAAGAGGUUAAAGGAAAUCCAAUAAUGAAAUUGAAUCGUAAGAUUUUACUUUGUACUUUGUCCAUAAUGUUUAAACUGUUUAUUGAUUGGAAGAUUUUAACAGAGCAAAAGAAGAUUUAAGUAUGAAAUUUUUAUCCAUCAACUGAACACAAUUGGAACAUUUGGGCUGUUGAAAAUAUAAAUGAAAAGCACAGCAAAACUACUAAAAAUAAAUGAGAAUUUUAUAUAAAUUUUUACAUGUAAAUAUUAUAUUU